UGUUCCCUGUUGCUUUAUCAACUAGAAGAGAAGUAUUGUCAGUGAAUAGGAUGAACUUGCUCACUGACGUGGUGCUGUUGGGAGGCCAUUUAUAAAUAUAAGAAACAAUAAGGGUUCCAAUGCAGACCCUUGAGGCACUCCAGUGUUGACUGUGCCCCUCUUGGAUAAAGCUGGGAUUCCAUUAUUGUCAGUAGUUAUUACCUUCCGUCUCCUAUAUGUAAGAAUUGCAAUGCUAGAGAUGGUGUCCCUUUACACAGUGAAGCCCGAAGUGAGAGUGGUGGUGUAUUGCUAUAAAGGGUCUGCAUCCGAACAAAUACGUUUGUCUCGAAUGCCAAGGCUGCAUGGGAGGGAACUUUUGACAUGAAAGGGAUGGCAGCUGUCAAAAUGGUGAAAUCAGUAAUUGUUUCGUGACCUAGAUUCUAUUGUUGACUUAUAAACAAAUAUAAAUUCUGUACUAAAUAUAAACAUUUGGAAGAAGAACUACUAGGAUUCUUUAAGUAUUUUUUGGCUGUAUUCGAAAACAUAUUAGAAAAGCCAGCCCUUAAUUAGUUCCAAAAUAAUUACCAAAUUGUCAAAAACAUUGUUUGCAUAACUAUAUCUGUUAAUUUCAAUAUUUAAACAUAUACUUCAGCCUAACCUUUGUGGUAGAAGGAACUGUUCAAAAGGAGGUGUUUUGUGAUGUAUUCAGUUAGUUGAAUGAGUUACAUUUUAACUGUAAUUUCUGUAAAUUAAACAUUGAACAAUG